GAGUAACAUGUAUAGAGUAUUGCCUGCCCGGUGACACAACUUAGGGUUUAACGGCCGCGGUAUAUUGACCGUGCGAAGGUAGCGCAAUCACUUGUCUUUUAAAUGGAGACCUGUAUGAAUGGCACGACGAGGGCUUAACUGUCUCCUCUUUCAGGUCAAUGAAAUUGAUCUCCCCGUGCAGAAGCGGGGAUGCAUACAUAAGACGAGAAGACCCUAUGGAGCUUUAGACACCAAAGCAGAUCAUGUAAACAUCCUCAAAACAACGACCCGAACAGAAUUUUUCCUGCCCUAUUGUCUUCGGUUGGGGCGACCACGGGGAAACACUCAACCCCCAUGCGGAACGGGAUUACCUCUCCCUAAGCCAAGAGCGCCAGCUCUAAGCAACAGACAUUCUGACCUUAAGAUCCGGCCAACCCGAUCAACGGACCAAGUUACCCUAGGGAUAACAGCGCAAUUUCCUUUUAGAGUCCAUAUCGACAAGGGGGUUUACGACCUCGAUGUUGGAUCAGGACAUCCUAAUGGUGCAGCCGCUAUUAAGGGUUCGUUUGUUCAACGAUUAAAGUCCUACGUGAUCUG
rnacentral:rRNA from 1 species